rnacentral:rRNA from 1 species
CCUACGGGGUGCAGCAGUGAGGAAUAUUAGUCAAUGGCCGGAAGGCUGAACCAGCCAUGCCGCGUGAAGGUCAGUGCCCUAUGGGCGUUAAACUUCUUUUGUGCGGGAGCAAUAAUGGUCACGUGUGGCCAGACGAGAGUACCGUACGAAUAAGCAUCGGCUAACUCCGUGCCAGCAGCCGCGGUAAUACGGGGGAUGCAAGCGUUAUCCGGAUUUAUGGGGGUUAAAGGGUGCGUAGGCUGGGAGGUAAGUCAGCGGUGAAAUGCCCCCGCUCAACGGGGUGAAGUGCCAUUGAUACGGCCUUGAUGGAAUGCGGAUGCCGUGGGAGGAAUGUGUGGUGUAGCGGUGAAAUGCAUAGAUAUCACACAGAACACCGAUUGCGAAGGCAUCUCACGAAUCCGCGAUUGACGCUGAUGCACGAAAGCGUGGGUAUCAAACAGGAUUAGAUACCCGAGUAGUC